AACAAGGCGUACCUGCGGACCUGCGGAAGGAUCAUUACAGAGUUCAUGCCCUCACGGGUAGAUCUCCCACCCUUGAAUACUAUACCUUUGUUGCUUUGGCGGGCCGCUUUGGCUACUGGCUCUGGCUAGUAAGUGCCCGCCAAAGAACCCCAAAACUCUGAAUAUUAGUGUCGUCUGAGUACUAUAUAAUAGUUAAAACUUUCAACAAUGGAUCU
rnacentral:misc_RNA from 1 species